CUCGGGUCUAAUUCUACCUAAGGCAUAUAGAUUUUUAUGCCUCGAUCUCCACUUAACCGAGGCAGAUAGCCUUUUUAGGUUAAAUACAAAUCGUGUCACUGUUGCAACGUCUUCUCCGUGGAGCGGCAGCAUCUUCUUCGUGGAGUAAAACAGCUUCUUCGUCUUGGAGUGGACCAGCAGGUUUCGCAUGGAGUGGACCAGCAGGAAUUGCAGAACGCCAAGCACAGGUUCCUUUCUUCCACUGUUGAUCCGUCGUGUAGUUGCAGAACACCAAACACAUCCACUGCUGGUCCGUCGUCGCACAUGCCGUUGCGAUGUCGCCUCUAUCGUUGUUCAAUCCCACCAAUGUGCUUUUUGUGAUUGUCAAUCCAACUCCCAAUUUGAAGAUGCUCGGGUUACUACAGGCUUCUUGAAAGGAAACUUUUGGGUAGGAAGUGUGCUUUCUGCAACCAUCAUUGUCGAGGCAGUAAGAUCAAGAUUGUAUAUCAGUGAAGUUAUAUUUUUCCUCUUGCAGAAAGACAUUGAGAAGCUAUUACAAUCUUGAGUGCUAAAGAUUUGAUUAUAUAUAACAUAUAAUGUUGCACAAGAAAUAGGUAAUUUUCCAGUGCUUUCAAAAGACAAGUAUCAACUAUGAGACUAUAUAGCUAUUGUCGUGAUUUCUUCUGUUUGAGGUGCAUGAUUUGGAUUUGUGGAAGGACCUACAACUGAUGAAGAUGAACCAUUCACACUGAUGAUGGAAAGUUCCAAGCUACGACCAAUACCGUGAAUUCUACCUUUCUUAUUUUCACCUCCCAUUUUCAUCCAUACUUUAGAAUCAACUUUAGGAUGCUUUGGUACAUCUUCUCCAUAUUUUUCUACCAUAGCACUUUCAUAUGAUUCCUAUAUAUAGUAAAUCAAUCAUUUUGUAAUAUAAGAUUAAAUAAGUAAAUAAAUUAUCUUACAUGUAUACUUACAAUGAAAUUUUUUGCUUUAUUGGA